rnacentral:rRNA from 1 species
AUUGAACGCUGGCGGCAUGCCUUACACAUGCAAGUCGAACGGUAACAGGUCUUCGGAUGCUGACGAGUGGCGAACGGGUGAGUAAUACAUCGGAACGUGCCUAGUAGUGGGGGAUAACUACUCGAAAGAGUGGCUAAUACCGCAUGAGAUCUACGGAUGAAAGCAGGGGAGCGCAAGACCUUGUGCUACUAGAGCGGCCGAUGGCAGAUUAGGUAGUUGGUGGGAUAAAAGCUUACCAAGCCGACGAUCUGUAGCUGGUCUGAGAGGGCGAUCAGCCACACUGGGACUGAGACACGGCCCAGACUCCUACGGGAGGCAGCAGUGGGGAAUUUUGGACAAUGGGCGCAAGCCUGAUCCAGCAAUGCCGCGUGCAGGAUGAAGGCCUUCGGGUUGUAAACUGCUUUUGUACGGAACGAAAAGCCCUGGGUUAAUACCCUGGGGUCAUGACGGUACCGUAAGAAUAGGCACCGGCUAACUACGUGCCAGCAGCCGCAGUAAUAC